rnacentral:rRNA from 1 species
GACGAACGCUGGCGGCGUGCUUAACACAUGCAAGUCGAGCGAUGAAGCACCUUCGGGUGUGAAUUAGCGGCGAACGGGUGAGGAACACGUGAGAAAUCUGCCUUCAACACUGGGAUAACUCCGGGAAACCGGGGCUAAUACCGGAUAUGAAACCUGCGGGCAUCCGCGGGUUUGGAAAGAUUUUCGGUUGAAGAUGGUCUCGCGGCCUAUCAGCUUGUUGGUGAGGUAAUGGCUCACCAAGGCGACGACGGGUAGCCGGCCUGAGAGGGCGACCGGCCACACUGGGACUGAGACACGGCCCAGACUCCUACAGGAGGCAGCAGUGGGGAAUAUUGGGCAAUGGAGGAAACUCUGACCCAGCGACGCCGCGUGCGGGAUGAAGGCCUUCGGGUUGUAAACCGCUUUCAGCAGGGAAGAAGCGAAAGUGACGGUACCUGCAGAAGAAGCACCGGCUAACUAUGUGCCAGCCGCCGCAGUAA